UAAGUACUCCCUCCGUCCCAAAAUUCUUGUCUUAGAUUUGUCUAGAUACAUCCGUAUCUAGACAAAUCUAAGACAAGAAUUUUGGGACGGAGGGAGUAGAUG
rnacentral:pre_miRNA from 1 species